rnacentral:snRNA from 1 species
AUCGCUUCUCGGCCUUUUGGCUAAGAUCAAGUGUAGUAUCUGUUCUUAUGGAGUUGCCGAUACUUUCUCUCAGAAAUGGCUCAGCCUGCUUCUAGGCAAAAACCUCCU